GUGGGGAAUAUUGGGCAAUGGACGCAAGUCUGACCCAGCAACGCCGCGUGAAGGAAGAAGGCUUUCGGGUUGUAAACUUCUUUUGUCAGGGAAGAGCAGAAGACGGUACCUGACGAAUAAGCCACGGCUAACUACGUGCCAGCAGCCGCGGUAAUACGUAGGUGGCAAGCGUUGUCCGGAUUUACUGGGUGUAAAGGGCGUGCAGCCGGGCCGGCAAGUCAGAUGUGAAAUCCACGGGCUUAACCCGUGAACUGCAUUUGAAACUGUUGGUCUUGAGUAUCGGAGAGGUAAUCGGAAUUCCUUGUGUAGCGGUGAAAUGCGUAGAUAUAAGGAAGAACACCAGUGGCGAAGGCGGAUUACUGGACGACAACUGACGGUGAGGCGCGAAAGCGUGGGGAGCAAACAGGAUUAGAAACCCUAGUAGUCC
rnacentral:rRNA from 1 species